GACGAACGCUGGCGGCGUGCUUAACGCAUGCAAGUCGAACGGAAAGGCCCUGCUUUUGUGGGGUGCUCGAGUGGCGAACGGGUGAGUAACACGUGAGUAACCUGCCCUUGACUUUGGGAUAACUUCAGGAAACUGGGGCUAAUACCGGGUAGGAGCUCCUGCUGCAUGGUGGGGGUUGGAAAGUUUCGGCGGUUGGGGAUGGACUCGCGGCUUAUCAGCUUGUUGGUGGGGUAGUGGCUUACCAAGGCUUUGACGGGUAGCCGGCCUGAGAGGGUGACCGGCCACAUUGGGACUGAGAUACGGCCCAGACUCCUACGGGAGGCAGCAGUGGGGAAUAUUGCACAAUGGGCGGAAGCCUGAUGCAGCAACGCCGCGUGCGGGAUGACGGCCUUCGGGUUGUAAACCGCUUUCGCCUGUGACGAAGCGUGAGUGACGGUAAUGGGUAAAGAAGCACCGGCUAACUACGUG
rnacentral:rRNA from 1 species